AUGCAAACAUGUUCACACAACAGGUGUUGUUGUUCAGCCAGCCGUACCAUCUCCACCACAAGUGAAGGACCCAUGAAGACAGCAUGUGAAGUGAUCUUUCACACAACUCAAGGACGCCAGCAUCAAAUGCAUCAGCGUUACCAUGCAAGCAAAACUAAUUAGAAAGCUGUCUGCAGGAUUCACAAGCCAAAGGAAGCAUCAACAAUAAGACUGUAUCAAACAGGCCAGUCUAUUUGUUUGGCAUUUGAAGAAUGAAGGCUACAAACAUCACUAGAUGAAACCGAAUGAAUGCAGAGUUUCCGGAUGUGCUAAUGAAAACUGUAAACGCGCGUCCACUGAAAUGCCUUUGCAGCUCCACAUCCUGCCAGAGCAACAAAUGAUGCAGAUGUUCCCAUGCAUAAAUCAUGAUUCAUCAAUAAUGUGCACUUAAAUGUGUUCUUUUGAUCAUUUAAUGUGAUAAGUGGAAAUGUUUAGUCUGAGUGGUUGUUUAUAUUAUUAGCGACUGAAUAAAUCUUAUUUCAAAGUGACAAAAAUGUACAGGUCUACAUUACCGUUUAAAUUUUUGGGAAAUAAAUUAAUACUUUCAUUCAGCAAGGAUGCACUAAAUUGUUCAAAAGUGUUCAGUAAAGACAUGUAUAAUGUUAUAAAAGAUUUCUAUUUCAAAUAAAUGCUGUUCUUUUGAAUUUUCUAUUUAUCAAAGAAUCCUGAAAAAACUGUAUCACAUUUAUAUGUCUUAUAUGUACAAAAAAUGAUUUUAUAUACACAGAAAGCAUAUUAAAUGGAAGUAAAGUGUAUACUUUAAUGUUUCAAUUAACUUUUGUGACAAUAAAAUGUCAAAAUAUGGGUGAAAUAAUGUUCAGUCAUUUAGCAUAACAGAUAUAGUUAUGUAAAAAUGAAACAACA
ensembl:lncRNA